CGGAAUAAUAUUCUGUAAAAAUAUAUUUUGAUAGAGAAAUAUUUUGUUAAAACCGUAUUUCGGUAAAAAAUAUCUAUAAAGGUGAUAACACUGUUAUCUCAUAUCAUCUGUUAACUGCUGAACAUCGGUUUAUGGUAUACUGAUUGGUUAGUUUUCUGGUUUGUUUGUUUGUUUUGUUACUAAUCAACAAGUCUUGUUGAUGUCGUU